rnacentral:misc_RNA from 1 species
UCCUUUCCUAAGAAAUCAGCAGAUUCACAAACAGGACCCACCACAUCAAAAGUUGAAAUGUCAGCAUUAGUUGGUGCGGGAGAAACAAGCUCAAUGUGUUGAUAUGCAUCAUAAAGACUAGGACGAAUAAGUUCAGCCAUGCUACCAUCAAUCACGAUAAAGUUUUUAGUUCCAUUAGUUUUCACCCCAGUGACCCUGUUGACCAGGCAGCAGGUAUUUGCGAUUAGAGAUCUCCCUGGUUCAAUGAUGAGAUUUAGAUUCCGUGAGAGUACCAAUUCUCGAACAGUAUUGAUGAGAUCUCUUGGUGAAGGAAGGAUAGCACCAGUAUGAUAAUAAUCUAUGCCCAAACCACCUCCAAUGUUUAGGUAAUCAACUUCAAAACCUUGAGCUCGGAUUUGGUCAAUGUAGCUGACCAUAAGAACUGCAGCAUCCCUGAAAAUGUCUACCUUAGUAAUGGUUGAGCCAAGAUGGCAAUGGGCCCCCACAAGCUUCAGCUCAUUAGGGUGUGCCUUUACAGCAUCCAGAAACCAUUGCAGCUUCUCAUUUCUAAUGCCAAAUUUAGAGUUCUUAUUCCCAGUUGCAACAUAAGGAUGAACCUGAGGGUCCACAUCUGGAUUGAUUCGAAGUAAAACAUUAACCUUUUUGCCAGCAAUUCUAGCAGCUGCUACAAUAUUCUCUAAAUCAAAUUCACUAUCCACAUUAACAAAGACACCUUCUUGGGCAGCUAACACCAAAUCCUCCAGCAGCUUCCCAUUUCCAUUAAAAAUGCACCUUGCGGGAUCGAAUCCAGCAUGAAGAGCCAACCUGAGCUCAUUGCCACUAACCAGCACAGCUCCACAACCCAAUUGCCUCAAGUGCUCCAAAAUCUUCAAAUUAUUAUUAGCCUUAAUUGCAUACCCAAUAAUGGAUCUCAAUCCCUCUAAAGCAUCUCUGUAAGCCUCAAAAUUCCGAGUAAUCUGAGGCUUACUGUACAAAUAAAAGGGUCUUUUCUCCACAUUCUCCAUGAUAUCCUGCACCUUGAGUUUCUCACAAUAGAGGAAGCCAUCAGGAGAUUUUGCGAAACAAUGCUUAAACGGCGCAGUUUCUUUGGUUACGCUAUUAGCAGGGUUCUGGGACAAAACUGCUUUGAGAGACAGAGACUUUACAAAGGAUUUGUUGCUUCUAACGGUUAAAAGAGGAGUUUUAAGAAAU